UACGAAGGGUGCAAGCGUUACUCGGAAUUACUGGGCGUAAAGCGCGCGUAGGUGGUUUGUUAAGUUGAAUGUGAAAUCCCCGGGCUCAACCUGGGAACUGCAUGCAAAACUGGCAAGCUAGAGUAUGGUAGAGGGUGGUGGAAUUUCCUGUGUAGCGGUGAAAUGCGUAGAUAUAGGAAGGAACACCAGUGGCGAAGGCGACCACCUGGACUGAUACUGACACUGAGGUGCGAAAGCUAGGGGAGCAAACGGG
rnacentral:rRNA from 1 species